rnacentral:piRNA from 1 species
UCAUAUAUCUACCGCUUCUGCCUC